rnacentral:rRNA from 1 species
AACGAACGCUGGCGGCAUGCUUAACACAUGCAAGUUGAACGCAGAAUAGAACUUCGGUUCUAUUGCUGAGUAGCAGACGGGUGAGUAACGCGUGGGAAUCUACCUUCUUGUGAGGAAUAACUGAGGGAAACUUCAGCUAAUACCGCAUAAGCUCUACGGAGGAAAGGCUUCGGCCGCAGGAAGAGGAGCCCGCGUCAGAUUAGGUAGUUGGUGGGGUAAAGGCCUACCAAGCCAAUGAUCUGUAGCUGGUCUGAGAGGAUGAUCAGCCACACUGGGACUGAGACACGGCCCAGACUCCUACGGGAGGCAGAAGUGGGGAAUAUUGGACAAUGGGGGAAACCCUGAUCCAACAAUGCCGCGUGAAUGAAGAAGGCCUUAGGGUUGUAAAGUUCUUUCACCUGUGAAGAUAAUGACGGUAGCAGGAGAAGAAGCCCCGGCUAACUCCGUGCCAGCAGCCGCCGUAA